rnacentral:rRNA from 1 species
GACGAACGCUGGCGGCGUGCUUAACACAUGCAAGUCGAACGGAAAGGCCCUGCUUGUGUGGGGUGCUCGAGUGGCGAACGGGGGAGUAACACGUGAGUAACCUGCCCUUGACUUUGGGAUAACUUCAGGAAACUGGGGCUAAUACCGGAUAGGAGCUGCUGCUGCAUGGUGGGGGUGGGAAAGUUUCGGCGGGUGGGGAUGGACUCGCGGCUUAUCAGCUUGUUGGUGGGGUAGUGGCUUACCAAGGCUUUGACGGGUAGCCGGCCUGGGAGGGUGACCGGCCACAUUGGGCCUGCGAUACGGCCCAGACUCCUACGGUAGGCAGCAGUGGGGAAUAUUGCCCAAUGGGCGGAAGCCUGAUGCAGCAGCCCCGCGUUCGUGAUGACGGCCUUCGGGUUGUAAACCGCUUUCGCCUGUGACGAAGCGUGAGUGACGGUAAUGGGUAAAGAAGCACCGGCUAACUACGUG